GGAUGAAGAACGUAGCGAAAUGCGAUAAGUAAUGUGAAUUGCAGAAUUCAGUGAAUCAUCGAAUCUUUGAACGCACAUUGCGCCCGCUAGUAUUCUGGCGGGCAUGCCUGUCCGAGCGUCAUUUCAACCCUCAAGCCCCCGGGCUUGGUGUUGGGGAUCGGCGAGCCUCCGCGCCCGCCGUCCCCUAAAUCUAGUGGCGGUCUCGCUGUAGCUUCCUCUGCGUAGUAGCACACCUCGCACUGGGAAACAGCGCGGCCACGCCGUUAAACCCCCAACUUCUGAACGUUUGACCUCGGAUCAGGUAGGAAUACCCGCUGAACUUAAGCAUAUCAAUAACGGAGGA
rnacentral:misc_RNA from 1 species